GACGAACCGUGCAAACGUUAUUCGGAAUCACUGGGCAUAAAGGGCGCGUAGGCGGCUUCAUAAGUCAGGGGUGAAAUCCGGCAGCUUAACUGUCGCAGUGCCUUUGAUACUGUGGAGCUCGAGGGAGGUAGGGGUCUGUGGAACUUCCGGUGGAGCGGUGAAAUGCGUUGAUAUCGGAAGGAACGCCGGUGGCGAAAGCGACGGACUGGAUCUCUUCUGACGCUGAGGCGCGAAAGCCAGGGGGAGCAAACGGG
rnacentral:rRNA from 1 species